rnacentral:lncRNA from 1 species
GUAAACAUUGCUAAUCUUCAUGGCACUUUUCCUUCUGAGCCUUAAUGAAGUCUCUCGAUAGAGCUCUUCAAGCAAUCACUACCAAUUCAAUGGCAGUUUGAAUAUGUCAUCCCACUGCCUUUGGCCUUCAUAGCUUCUGGCCCAGGAAAGGGAAGAAUUACAUGAAGACACAUGGAGAGGGGAGCCAAGGGGAGAGGUUCAGAAGAAACAAAGCCUGCUGAUAUCUUGAUCUUGGGGUCUAACCUCCAGAACGGUGAUGAAAUGUCUGUUAUUUAAGCCAUUCGGUCUGUGGUAUUGGUGACAACAGUCUAAGCAGACUAAUGCAAGCCCUGACACAGACUUUAUGCAAUUUAAUUCUCUUUUCUCAGUCAUGAUUUUCUCCUCUGUAAUAAGCUCUAAUUAUCAGUGAUGAAAAUUAAAUGUGUAAAUGUGUACAUUAUUGUUUAAAGACAAGUAAAGAAAACCAACACCC